AGAGAGAGAGAGAGAGAGAGGAAUGCUCUGACCGAUAAGCCAUCUUUCUUCUUCUACACCUUCAUUUCUGUCUUUUCUGCUUGUGACUGUCGCCGGCGCGUUCGUGUUCAUGGUCAGUCAUUGAAUGACAAAUUCAUGAGGAACCAUGUUCGAAGCUGGAUCAGCUGAGAAAGAGAGAGCUUGGAUGUUCCCAUCUUUGUUCUCUUUUGCUUUCUUCCUCCUUUUGCUGUCAUCGCCGGUGACAUGGGUGCCGCUGCUCCAUUUGCCUAUGAUCAAUUAGCUUGUGGCUUUUGUUUUUCCUUCCUCUAUUCCAAAUCAGUAAGGUUCCUUCGUCACUGUCAGUGUGGCGGCAUGCCAUUGUUUUCUUCUUUCUCGGUUCGUUUGCCAUGAGUCAAUUAAGGUGGAAGCCUUGACCUUUUCUCCUAUUCUCCGAAUAAUCUGUGCUGUGGGAGUUGAUUUGUAGCUGUGGGAGUUUCAUUUUAUUGACUGUCAUUUUCCCCUGCAAUCGUUGCCUUCUUUUCUCCCUGUGUAUGCCAAUGUUAAUGGAGGACUUUAUACAGAACACUGGUUGUUAACGGCAGUUCCAUUAGUCCUUGACACGCCAUGGUACACCUAGCUAGCAGGGUGUGUAUAGGAGAUACUAGCCCCGUAUGAUGGCCAACGCACGUGGAAUGAAGGGAUGGUUAUUCGUAAGCAUUGUACUCACGUUUGAUUUCGUGGCUUUGAGUCGCAUUUGGUUAGCAGUACCCUCGUGGACUGUGUGUCCACGUUUGUUUCAUAGCUUUAAUUGCGUUUGGUUAUUUACCCUCGUGGAUUGGUGUGUCCACGUUUGUCUUCGUGGCUUCGGCCGCGUCUGAUUAUUUACUCCCGUGAACUAUGUAUCCACGUUUGUUAAUUUUUCUGAUAAAUCCCUAUAAUUAUAAUCUGAUUAUUUGGUGAUUUUAAAUUCCAUUGGUUCUUGCUUAGCAACUUAUUUAUAAGUAUUUAUUUACAUGCUUUCUUGAAAUCAAGUGAUAAUAACAAGUUUUAUGAUAGUUCAAUGGUUUACAAUUUUAUUUAACUUUGAUAGAAUCAUUUCAUUCUAAAGCUUAUGGAAUUUUUAUGGAAAGAGUUGCCUCUUUGGUUACAUAAUUAUUUUGAACUUUUCUAUUUAUUCAUGAUCAAUUAUUUAUUGUUGGGACGAUAUUCAUUAGAAAAAUUUAUUUGGUCUUAGAUUCAUUAGCUAAC